rnacentral:rRNA from 1 species
CGUAGGGUGCGAGCGUUAAUCGGAAUUACUGGGCGUAAAGCGUGCGCAGGCGGUUUUGUAAGACAGGCGUGAAAUCCCCGGGCUUAACCUGGGAACUGCGUUUGUGACUGCAAGGCUAGAGUACGGCAGAGGGGGGUGGAAUUCCACGUGUAGCAGUGAAAUGCGUAGAGAUGUGGAGGAACACCAAUGGCGAAGGCAGCCCCCUGGGUCGAUACUGACGCUCAUGCACGAAAGCGUGGGUAGCAAACAGGAUUAGAUACCCUGGUAGUCCACGCCCUAAACGAUGUCAACUAGGUGUUGGGAGGGUAAAACCUUUUAGUACCGUAGCUAACGCGAGAAGUUGACCGCCUGGGGAGUACGGCCGCAAGGUUA